AACGAACGCUGGCGGCAUGCCUAACACAUGCAAGUCGAACGAAGCCUUCGGGCUUAGUGGCGCACGGGUGCGUAACGCGUGGGAAUCUGCCCUUGGGUUCGGAAUAACAGUUAGAAAUGACUGCUAAUACCGAAUGAUGUCUUCGGACCAAAGAUUUAUCGCCCAAGGAUGAGCCCGCGUCGGAUUAGCUGGUUGGUGAGGUAAAGGCUCACCAAGGCGACGAUCCGUAGCUGGUCUGAGAGGAUGAUCAGCCACACUGGGACUGAGACACGGCCCAGACUCCUACGGGAGGCAGCAGUGGGGAAUAUUGGACAAUGGGCGAAAGCCUGAUCCAGCAAUGCCGCGUGAGUGAUGAAGGCCUUAGGGUUGUAAAGCUCUUUUACCCGGGAUGAUAAUGACAGUACCGGGAGAAUAAGCCCCGGCUAACUCCGUGCCAGCAGCCGCGGUAAU
rnacentral:rRNA from 1 species